UCCGGCCAGUACUCAAAUGCUUGCCUCAAAAAUAAACCCCUUUUUGUGUAAGUAUAAGAAUUAUACGGCCAAACUCCAAAUGGCUCAUUAAAACAGUUAUGAUUUAUUUGAUAAUCAAACUUUACUGGGAUAACCGUGACAAAUUACACCUAACACAUGCAGCCAAACCUGGCCCAGGGGUCCAAAUUAUAAGUACCAACCCAAUUCCCCAAGGAAUGUGAUAAAUCAAACUAAUCAAACAAAUCGAAGGUAUAUCCAAUAAGUCAUUCAAUUUUCUGCCCUAUCACCUUUGGAUGGAAGUGAAUUGCACUCCCAUGGCACUCACGGGAAACGAAAAAUUAGGGUUCGAUUCCGGAAAGGGAUCCUAAAAAACGGCUCCCACAUCCAAGGAAGGAAGCCGGCCCCCAAAUUACCCAUUCCUGACACAGGGAGGUAGUGACAAUAAAUAACAA
rnacentral:rRNA from 1 species